CAGUUUUCGUUUUGUGUUCAGUGCUUUCUUUAAUUAAAAUAUCAUGAACACAUACCGCGCUGCGUUUUGGUCCGAUACCUGCUACACCUCCUCUUUAGACGAAGAGGAGGAAAUCUACCGUGAUCGUGUUAAGCUCUACAAUACUUACCCAAGAAGACUCACAGCUGUAAUCAAAGUCAAAGGUGUUUCCAAGGGGUAUGACUACUUUUGCAAGGCACGGAUUGUUUUCCAACUGGUCUGACAAUGGGAAUGUUCUCAAAUAGGGGUGGUGACCAGAACAGCCCAGAACAUCACUGACAGGGGGGGUGAGCAGAACAGCCCAGAACAUGUGAUGUCACUCAGCCUGAUCUAGAAGCAUGGGGCUGAGGCUAGUUGACAAGCAAGGGCAGCAGAGCCAGAAGAUGGUGAUCUUCGGAGCCAUCUUCCUCCUUAUGACCCUCCUCAUCCUCUAUAGCUCCAACAGUGGCAAUGACAUCAGCCCCUUGUACAGUCCCUUCAGGGCGUCCACGCCUCAUCAUGCCAUCAAGGUCACCAACCUCAAGAAAUGGGCAGGGAAGGAGGGCUAUGUUGCUGUCUAUGGAAACAAGAAUAUGACCCUGCACUGCCACCACUGUGCUCUGGUGACCAGCUCCAGCCACGUACUGGGCAGCGGGGCCGGACCGGAAAUCGACCACACCCAGUGCGUGAUCCGCAUGAACGACGCCCCCACCACAGGGUUCGAGCGUGACGUGGGCAACCGGACCACUCUCAGAGUGGUGGCCCACUCCAGCGUGUUCAGGGUGGUCAGGCGGCCCACCGAGUUUCUCAACCACACGGACCAUAACUCUGCGGUCAUAUUCUGGGGACCGCCCACCAAGAUUGGGAGAGAGGCUAAAGGAACGCUGUACCGUCUGAUCCAGAGAGUGAGCAUGACCUACAGUAACCUGUCCAGCUUCACAAUCACGCCCAGCAAGAUGCAUAAGUUUGAUACACUCUUUCAGAAAGAGACUGGGCGAGACAGAGCGAAGUCUCAGUCCUGGUUGAGCACUGGCUGGUUCACCAUGGUGAUCGCCAUAGAGAUGUGUGACAAUAUUAAAGUGUACGGGAUGGUUCCACCCAGUCACUGUGGAAGCAUGGCGAAGACUUUUGGGUCGAAACGUUGCACUGUAAAACAGCGAGGGGAGCAUUCGACAGUGUGCGGAAAAAAGCCCCAGCCCAAGAAGAUGCCCUACCACUACUACAAGCCCAGGGGCUCAGAAGAGUGUGUCACCUACCUGCAGAACGAGAAGGGCCGAAAGGGGCCUCACCAUCGGUUCAUCACGGAGAAACAGGUGUUCGCACACUGGGCCAAGCAGUAUAAUAUCAGCUUCACUCGCCCCACAUGGUGAGAUGACUGGUUCCUCUCACAAAGGCUGGACAUCGAGAUCAAGAUGGCCUCCUGUGGAAAAACCACCGGGUGGAUAAAGACAGGUCAGGUUGAACUCCCAGCUGAUAUAAUGAAAGAUUACAGGCCCUGAGUUUUUCCUUACCAUGUAUAGAAACCAGUGGAGGCUGGUGACUUGAAAGAGUGAGGAGGAUGGAAGACCCACGUUAUAGGCUCGGACCGAACAACAAAGCGCAUUUGGAAAAUCAUCAAAGACCAAUUAUUUUAACCGAAAAUGUUUAUUAAAGACAUUUAUAGUAAAAUAUUAUGGGGAAUAGGAAUGAGAGCAUCUUACACUGUUGGGAAGGGCAGCAGUGAUUGUAUGAGGCAUGAGUAGGUGUUUGGAGGCUUGACUUCAGCGCAGGACAGGGUUGAGGUGUUCAGAGGCUUCAGUGCAGAAAAAAGUUGAUCAUGGAUGGAUGUUGUUGGAGAAGAGCCCAACUCCUCCGCUAAGGACAGGACAGGAUUUGACUGGGAGGACAAAAAAAAAACACAAUGAGUUAGUCCAAGCAAGGAGUAAAAUCACAUUGAUGUGUUAUCUGAUUGUGUUUGUCUAUGUGAUUGACUCUUCAUAGUAAUUGAAAGAAUGUAUAGGGGUACUCACAGUGCUUGGAGAGGAAACAUUCAAUGUGCCAGUGGAUGAAAUGGUUCUUCAGAGGAGCACAGGGCUGUCCUGUUUAAAAAAAUCAUUAUUAGGCAAGUCCGUUAACAACAAAUUCUUAUUUACAAUGACGGCCUACCAAAAGGCAAAAGGCCAGGGAAUAAAAUAAAAAAUAUAUAUAAAUAUAGGACAAAACCCACAUCACAACAAGAGAGACAACACUACAUAAAGAGAGACCUAAGACAACAACCUAGCAAGGCAGCAACACAUGGCAACACAACAUGUUAGCAGCCCAAAACAUGGUACAAACAUUAUUGGGCACAGACAACAGCACAAAGGACGAGAAGGUAGAGACAAUACAUCACACAAAGCAGUCACAAUGAGGUUUGAGAAGGAAGGGAAGUGAGACUACCACUUGCUGGAAAAUAUGUUGUGUUCAAUUAACUUUGGUAGGCCAGACCCAGCUGCUAUAGAGAGCAAUAGUAAUCGCAUCUUUUGUAGGCACACACUCCGCCGUGGUUCGUUGGACAAAUCCUAUGGGGAAAAAUUGUGUUUUUAGAUCAACACUGAAAACAAGGUCUGUGGUAAACGCAGGCUUGACCCUUGUUUUUCACAGAAUUUAAGUUAAAUUAAAAGCAAAUGCUAUAAUGGUCAUGUUAACUGAUCUCAGGAAAUGUAUAAUCUCCUAAAAGCCAAUUUAUGCUAGACCGAAAAUGUGGUCAGUGCCAUAUGGAUGGUGUAAAGCAGGCGAAGACCAGUACUAAACAGCAUGCAAUACUAACUGUACAAUGCGUUGGUUUUUUAGGCUCAAUCUGUGUCCGGGAAACUGGCCCCAAAAGAAAAGUCAUUUCAUCUCAGUAACCAUUAUUGUAUAAGUUACUUUUUGAGGUAGUGCAAUAAGAGCAAACGCUGAAUUACCUUGUAGUGGUCAGAGCCCUUCAGAGGGGCACAGGGCUGUCCUGUUCUUCAGAGGACAAGGGGCUUCAGUUCUUCAGAGGACACAGGGCUGUCCUGUUCUUCAGAGGACACAGGGCUGUCCUGUUCUUCAGAGGACACAGGGCUGUCCUGUUCUUCAGAGGGCAGAGGACAAGGGGCUUCAGUUCUUCAGAGGACACAGGGCUGUCCUGUUCUUCAGAGGGCAGAGGACAAGGGGCUUCAGUUCUUCAGAGGACACAGGGCUGUCCUGUUCUUCAGAGGGGCACAGGGCUGUCCUGUUCUUCAGAGGACACAGGGCUGUCCUGUUCUUCAGAGGACACAGGGCUGUCCUGUUCUUCAGAGGGCCAUGGGGGGGAGAGAGAGAAUACAGUAUUCGGCAUGUAUUAAAAACGAUGGUGAUGUUGGUUUACCAUAGAUCCUACCCCAGGCCUUUUUCUCUAAGGAGGGAAUUAAAGAAUAAUGACAGUAUUGUUCAAGAAAAACGUGUAAUAUGUAUGCAAUUCGGUACUAAAGAUUUUUAAAAUGUCAUUUACAUUGAAUGAAAUAUCCGGCUGUCUCUCUCUGUCUAUGUACCUCAAAAGGUUGCAGUGUGUGUGUGUGUGUGUGUGUCUGCGUGUGUGUGUCUGCUUAUGCGUGUGUCUACGUGCGUGGUUGAACCAAUGUUUUUUUCCUCAUCAAUUCAGGAGUAGGGGGCUAUAUGUACAUGAGGAUACCCAAAUAACAGUGUUUUUUCCCCCCUGAGCAUCUCACUGAAAUAUCUGGCUCUCUACCUCACUUGUGUGUCCCGGUGUCAGAUUACGAGCUGGGUUUACACACACAGAGAAUCUUGAAAAUAAUCAAAAAGCCUUCUUUUAUUUGAAUACAGUCUUUCCUACAACAGACAAUUAUAAAUAUAAACAUUUAAUGGGUUUUAAAGUGUAGUACUGUGUGGUAAUAAUAUAUGUUCUAUACAUUUUUGGGGGUAAAAAAACAUUCUGGCAUACUUAAAUAUUGCAUAGUAAAAUUGUUUAAAUAAUUAUAAUUAUAAUGUUUAAAAGGUCUGUACUAAAGAUUUAGAAUUAAAUAAAGCAUUU